AGUGAACGCUGGCGGUAGGCCUAACACAUGCAAGUCGAACGGCAGCACAGAGGAGCUUGCUCCUUGGGUGGCGAGUGGCGGACGGGUGAGGAAUACAUCGGAAUCUACUCUGUCGUGGGGAUAACGUAGGGAAACUUACGCUAAUACCGCAUACGACCUACGGGUGAAAGCAGGGGACCUUCGGGCCUUGCGCGAUUGAAUGAGCCGAUGUCGGAUUAGCUAGUUGGCGGGGUAAAGGCCCACCAAGGCGACGAUCCGUAGCUGGUCUGAGAGGAUGAUCAGCCACACUGGAACUGAGACACGGUCCAGACUCCUACGGGAGGCAGCAGUGGGGAAUAUUGGACAAUGGGCGCAAGCCUGAUCCAGCCAUACCGCGUGGGUGAAGAAGGCCUUCGGGUUGUAAAGCCCUUUUGUUGGGAAAGAAAUCCAGCUGGCUAAUACCUGGUUGGGAUGACGGUACCCAAAGAAUAAGCACCGGCUAACUUCGUGCCAGCAGCCGCCGCCG
rnacentral:rRNA from 1 species